GUCAGUGUGGUGUAGUGGUUUAAAUAUUGGACUAUGACUCUGGAGAUCAGGGUUCGAUUCCCAGCACUGCCA